rnacentral:rRNA from 1 species
AGAUACCCGGGUAGUCCACGCCGUAAACGAUCAUCACUCGCUGUUGGCGAUAUACUGUCAGCGGCCAAGCGAAAGUAUUAAGUGAUGCACCUGGGGAGUACGCCGGCAACGGUGAAACUCAAAGGAAUUGACGGGGGCCCGCACAAGCGGUGGAGCAUGUGGUUUAAUUCGAUGAUACGCGAGGAACCUUACCAGGGCUUAAAUGUAGCAUGACCGGCUUGGAAACAGGCCUUCUCUUCGGAGCAGAUUACAAGGUGCUGCAUGGCCGCCGUCAG